GAUGAAGAACGCAGCGAAAUGCGAUAAGUAGUGUGAAUUGCAGAAUUCAGUGAAUCAUCGAAUCUUUGAACGCACAUUGCGCCCCUUGGUAUCCCGAGGGGCAUGCCUGUUCGAGCGUCAUUUCACCACUCAAGCCUGGCUUGGUGUUGGGCGACGUCCCCUUUGGGGACGCGCCUCGAAACGCUCGGCGGCGUGGCACCGGCUUUAAGCGUAGCAGAAUCUUUCGCUUUGGAAGUCGGGGCCCCGUCUGCCGGAAGACCUGCUCGCAAGGUUGACCUCGGAUCAGGCAGGGAUACCCGCUGAACUUAAGCAUAUCAAUAAGCGGAGGA
rnacentral:misc_RNA from 1 species